rnacentral:sRNA from 1 species
UUGACACUCAAAUGAUAACGUUUAUCAUUAGCAACAAGUCAUCGCGAGAUGGCUGUGAUAACAGGAUUGUCGCGAGACAAACGGUUAUCUCCUCAUCAGGCUAAUCACGGAUUUCGCCCGCUCACUGAGCGGGCUUUUUUUU